GUUCGUUGUUUGUUUUGAUUCUGUGAACUCUGCGGCGGCCAGCCAGCAGCAGCCAUGGAAGAUCCCAGUGCGACGAGUGACGCCGAAAGCGUCCUGAAUUUCACGUCGUUGCAAGCGGGCAACGAUUACGAUUCCAACUUCGAAACGGACAGCGAGGCCGACCGACGCCGAAGCGGUCGACACGAUCUCGCCGGUCCCGCCAAGCCCCGCCGCGAGCCCAAGGCUCACCGUGACGUACUCCUCACCGAGUACAGCUUGGAAGAGAAACGCCGCGAAAAGCACAAUUUCCUCGCCCUCGACGCGUACACGAGGCACAAGAAGCUCAUCAACGACUACCUCCUCUGCUACCCAGGUACUACUGCCAAGCUGCAACGGGACACUAGCCGCGAUCGCACCGAUUUCGACGUGAUACGCGAGAACCACCAGUUCCUAUGGGACGAGGCGGACGAAGACGUGACGAGUUGGGAGAAACAGCUGGCCAAGCGCUACUACGACAAGCUGUUCAAGGAGUACUGCAUUUGUGACUUGACGUACUACAAGGCGAACAAGAUCGCCAUGCGCUGGCGCACCGAGCAAGAACUCAUCGUGGGCAAAGGGCAGUUCAGCUGCGGCGAAAAGCGCUGCAAGUCCGACGCCAAGUUGAGGACCUGGGAGGUUAACUUCGGGUACUUUGAGAAGGACGAGAAGAAGAACGCUCUCGUGAAGUUGAGACUGUGCGCCGAGUGUUCCUUCAAGCUCAACUACAGGUUUCAGAGGAAAGAACUGACCAAGCCAGCCAAGCGAACGGAGAGCGGUGGCGACGAGCCCGAUCCCAAGAGGGCCAAGACCGCUGAGGAACCUUCGGAAGCGGAGAAGACAAAAGAUUCCGAGAAAAAAGACGAAGAAGAGGAGUCCGUGUGGAAGAAACCCGGUGCCGUUGAAGAAGAGAAGAGCAAGGAAGAGGAGUUUGAUCUCUACUUGUCUGACAUGUUCCUUUGAGAUUGUUUUGUUGUUGGUCUGGUAGCCUUCGGCACUGGCCGCCAGGGGGCGCGUCGAAGUUAUUUUUUUUUUUUAAUGAUUUGUGACGUUUCAACGUGUCGGAGGCUGUGGCCUAGUUAUGGAGAAAAAAAGCACUGUUACUGUACAGCUUGGAAGUUUGGUGGAAGUGUCAGUGUGGUUGUUCAGAGGGUUGCCCUCGUGAUUUCUGCAUGUGUGUCGGCUUGCACUGUACCUCUAAUCUACAACUUCAAAUUUGGGGACAUUACGUGCUGAGUUAUUGAAGGGCAUCUGGCACGCACCAGCGGAGGACAGGAUAGUUUUGGACCACCUGCUGGGGUCUUUUGACGUGCAACCGAAAUCACGGUUGCCUUCUCUGCUAUAAGCCUCCGUCAGACUCUGGGCAUAAUCUACAACUUGGCGAAGAAGCCUCGAAGAGUGAUGUCAUGGGGUGC
rnacentral:misc_RNA from 1 species